rnacentral:tRNA from 1 species
GUGUACUUAGCUCAAUGGUUAGAGCAUCACUCAUGAAUGCUGAGGUUGUGGGUUUGAGUUUCACAGUGAACA